CCGAGUUGAGGGUCGCAAGGCCCGAACCUCCCACCCGUGUGAACCGACCUCUGUUGCUUUGGUGGGCUGGCGGCCUCACCGCCGCCGCACGCCCACCAGAGGUAUUUGUCAAUCCGUCGAUGUGGUUGUCUCAGUCAAGAAAUGAAUCUUCA
rnacentral:misc_RNA from 1 species